rnacentral:rRNA from 1 species
CAUGCAAGUCGAGCGGAUGAAGGUAGCUUGCUACUGGAUUCAGCGGCGGACGGGUGAGUAAUGCUUAGGAAUCUGCCUAUUAGUGGGGGACAACGUUCCGAAAGGAGCGCUAAUACCGCAUACGUCCUACGGGAGAAAGCAGGGGACCUUUGGGCCUUGCGCUAAUAGAUGAGCCUAAGUCGGAUUAGCUAGUUGGUAGGGUAAAGGCCUACCAAGGCGACGAUCUGUAGCGGGUCUGAGAGGAUGAUCCGCCACACUGGGACUGAGACACGGCCCAGACUCCUACGGGAGGCAGCAGUGGGGAAUAUUGGACAAUGGGGGGAACCCUGAUCCAGCCAUGCCGCGUGUGUGAAGAAGGCCUUUUGGUUGUAAAGCACUUUAAGCGAGGAGGAGGCUACCUAGAUUAAUACUUUAGGAUAGUGGACGUUACUCGCAGAAUAAGCACCGGCUAACUCUGUGCCAGCAGCCGCGGUAAUACAGAGGGUGCGAGCGUUAAUCGGAUUUACUGGGCGUAAAGCGUGCGUAGGCGGCCAAUUAAGUCAAAUGUGAAAUCCCCGAGCUUAACUUGGGAAUUGCAUUCGAUACUGGUUGGCUAGAGUAUGGGAGAGGAUGGUAGAAUUCCAGGUGUAGCGGUGAAAUGCGUAGAGAUCUGGAGGAAUACCGAUGGCGAAGGCAGCCAUCUGGCCUAAUACUGACGCUGAGGUACGAAAGCAUGGGGAGCAAACAGGAUUAGAUACCCUGGUAGUCCAUGCCGUAAACGAUGUCUACUAGCCGUUGGGGCCCUUGAGGCUUUAGUGGCGCAGCUAACGCGAUAAGUAGA